AUGCAGUCGUACGAGGAUCGUCGGUGUAGCAUACAUUGGCGGUUCGAGUGGCGCACGGGUGAGUAACACGUGGGUAACCCACCCUCGAGACCGGGAUACCCUCUCGAAAGGGAGGCUAAUACUGGAUACGUUCCCUGGGACGCAAGAUCUGGGGAGGAAAGGUGGCGAAAGCUGCCGCUCUUGGAGGGGCUCGCGGCCUAUCAGCUAGUUGGUGAGGUAAUGGCUCACCAAGGCUAUGACGGGUAGCUGGUCUGAGAGGACGACCAGCCACACGGGAACUGAGACACGGUCCCGACUCCUACGGGAGGCAGCAGUGGG
rnacentral:rRNA from 1 species